rnacentral:rRNA from 1 species
CAGUCGCCGCGGUAAUACGAAGGGGGCUAGCGUUGUUCGGAAUUACCGGGCGUAAAGCGCACGUAGGCGGCUUGGUAAGUUAGAGGUGAAAGCCUGGAGCUCAACUCCAGAAUUGCCUUUAAGACUGCCGAGCUAGCAGGUGAGAGAGGUAAGUGGAAUUCCGAGUGUAGAGGUGAAAUUCGUAGAUAUUCGGAAGAACACCAGUGGCGAAGGCGGCUUACUGGCUCAUACUGGACGCUGAGGUGCGAAAGCGUGGGGAGCAAACAGGAUUAGAUACCCCAGUAGUCCCUGUCUCUUAUAC